rnacentral:rRNA from 1 species
ACGAAGUUGGAUUCGCUAGUAAUCGCGCAUCAGCCAUGGCGCGGUGAAUACGUUCCCGGGCCUUGUACACACCGCCCGUCAAGCCAUGGGAGCCGGGGGCGCCUGAAGUCCGGGACCGCGAGGACCGGCCUAAGGCGAAACUGGUGACUGGGGCUAAGUCGUAACAAGGUAGC